rnacentral:piRNA from 1 species
UGUCUAAUUAACUUGGGGACUUGUGU